UGUCCAGUAUGCAUACAUUCUGUAAAAGCUCAUGUAUUAAAAUAUUUGUCUGCUUCUGUUUUUAGUACCAGACUAAACUGGAAUUGUCAGGAACUCAUCAACAUAAAGACUGGGAUCAUAUUUUUGCUGCCUAUUUGAACACUUGCUCCAUAAUAUUUGAAUGCAACAGGAAUUACAAAAAAAAAACACAAUUCCUGCAUGCUGUUCUACAGUGCUGUGUGAAUAUUCAUGAAUACUGAAUUGUUUUUCUGGAGGAAAUAUGUAAAAGCAUGAAAGUGAUCAUCAGCUGACCUCUGCUCCAAGCUGAAUUUUGCAGUUUAGGAAACAACGGGGAAAAGAAAUUUAUUUCCAACUAGAAUUUGAUUGCAGAAUGAAUAGAAGGCUACUUCCUUGCACGUCUAGGAAAAACUUAACAUGCAUCAAGAAACAUCUAUUUUCAAAGCCCUAAAUAACCUUUUCAAGACUAAGACUCUGAUGCCAUUUCCCUGACCUGUAUAGAAUCAUGCUGAUCACAACUGGCUACUUGGGUAUUUCCGUUUCAGUGAAAAAAAUUAAGGC
ensembl:lncRNA